rnacentral:piRNA from 1 species
UGAGUGAAGACACAGGACACUUCUGGUGU